rnacentral:rRNA from 1 species
AGAGUUUGAUCCUGGCUCAGAUUGAACGCUGGCGGCAGGCUUAACACAUGCAAGUCGAGCGGAAACGAUGAUAGCUUGCUAUCAGGCGUCGAGCGGCGGACGGGUGAGUAAUACUUAGGAAUCUACCUAGUAGUGGGGGAUAGCACGGGGAAACUCGUAUUAAUACCGCAUACGACCUACGGGAGAAAGGGGGCAGUUUACUGCUCUCGCUAUUAGAUGAGCCUAAGUCGGAUUAGCUAGAUGGUGGGGUAAAGGCCUACCAUGGCGACGAUCUGUAGCUGGUCUGAGAGGAUGAUCAGCCACACCGGGACUGAGACACGGCCCGGACUCCUACGGGAGGCAGCAGUGGGGAAUAUUGGACAAUGGGGGAAACCCUGAUCCAGCCAUGCCGCGUGUGUGAAGAAGGCCUUUUGGUUGUAAAGCACUUUAAGCAGUGAAGAAGACUCCGUGGUUAAUACCCACGGACGAUGACAUUAGCUGCAGAAUAAGCACCGGCUAACUCUGUGCCAGCAGCCGCGGUAAUACAGAGGGUGCAAGCGUUAAUCGGAAUUACUGGGCGUAAAGGGAGCGUAGGUGGCUCGAUAAGUCAGAUGUGAAAUCCCCGGGCUCAACCUGGGAACUGCAUCUGAUACUGUUGAGCUAGAGUAUGUGAGAGGAAGGUAGAAUUCCAGGUGUAGCGGUGAAAUGCGUAGAGAUCUGGAGGAAUACCGAUGGCGAAGGCAGCCUUCUGGCAUAAUACUGACACUGAGGCUCGAAAGCGUGGGUAGCAAACAGGAUUAGAUACCCUGGUAGUCCACGCCGUAAACGAUGUCUACUAGUCGUUGGGUCCCUUGAGGACUUAGUGACGCAGCUAACGCAAUAAGUAGACCGCCUGGGGAGUACGGCCGCAAGGUUAAAACUCAAAUGAAUUGACGGGGGCCCGCACAAGCGGUGGAGCAUGUGGUUUAAUUCGAUGCAACGCGAAGAACCUUACCUGGUCUUGACAUAUCUAGAAUCCUGCAGAGAUGCGGGAGUGCCUUCGGGAAUUAGAAUACAGGUGCUGCAUGGCUGUCGUCAGCUCGUGUCGUGAGAUGUUGGGUUAAGUCCCGCAACGAGCGCAACCCUUGUCCUUAGUUACCAGCGGGUUAAGCCGGGAACUCUAAGGAUACUGCCAGUGACAAACUGGAGGAAGGCGGGGACGACGUCAAGUCAUCAUGGCCCUUACGACCAGGGCUACACACGUGCUACAAUGGUAGGUACAGAGGGCAGCUACACAGCGAUGUGAUGCGAAUCUCAAAAAGCCUAUCGUAGUCCAGGUUGGAGUCUGCAACUCGACUCCAUGAAGUAGGAAUCGCUAGUAAUCGCGGAUCAGAAUGCCGCGGUGAAUACGUUCCCGGGCCUUGUACACACCGCCCGUCACACCAUGGGAGUUGAUUGCACCAGAAGUGGAUAGCUUAACCUUCGGGGAGGCGUUCACCACGGUGUGGUUGAUGACUGGGGUGAAGUCGUAACAAGGUAACC